UAGGGAAUCUUCGGCAAUGGGGGCAACCCUGACCGAGCAACGCCGCGUGAGUGAAGAAGGUUUUCGGAUCGUAAAGCUCUGUUGUAAGAGAAGAACGUGUGUGAGAGUGGAAAGUUCACACAGUGACGGUAACUUACCAGAAAGGGACGGCUAACUACGUGCCAGCAGCCGCGGUAAUACGUAGGUCCCGAGCGUUGUCCGGAUUUAUUGGGCGUAAAGCGAGCGCAGGCGGUUUAAUAAGUCUGAAGUUAAAGGCAGUGGCUUAACCAUUGUUCGCUUUGGAAACUGUUACACUUGAGAGCAGAAGGGGAGAGUGGAAUUCCAUGUGUAGCGGUGAAAUGCGUAGAUAUAUGGAGGAACACCGGUGGCGAAAGCGGCUCUCUGGUCUGUAACUGACGCUGAGGCUCGAAAGCGUGGGGAGCAAACAGG
rnacentral:rRNA from 1 species